rnacentral:rRNA from 1 species
UACGGGGGGGGCAAGCGUUGUUCGGAAUUACUGGGCGUAAAGGGCUCGUAGGCGGCCAACUAAGUCAGACGUGAAAUCCCUCGGCUUAACCGGGGAACUGCGUCUGAUACUGGUUGGCUUGAAUCCGGGAGAGGGAUGUGGAAUUCCAGGUGUAGCGGUGAAAUGCGUAGAUAUCGUAAGGAAGACCAGUGGCGAAGGCGGAUCUCUGGACAGUUACUGACACUGAGGCACGAAGGCCAGGGGAGCAAACGGG